CGAACGUUCUCUUGCCUUUUUGUGAUUUUCUUUUGCGCCAUUUUCAUUUUAUCUAUACGAUGUCUGCUAAACGAGUUUUUUCUGCAUCUAAUGUGUUAUUUGAAGAUUCUGAUUGUCCUUUCCGUGAUUCUGAUGACGAUUUAUUAGAUGAAGUGGAUCAAAUUUUCAUGGAAAAUCCCCUGAUUUUGCCCCUGUACUAUCAUGUGGGUUCCGGAUUUGAGACUUCUUCCUCAUCAGCUCAUGGACCCUGUGUAUAUGGCUG